rnacentral:lncRNA from 1 species
ACCCAGAGAAUUGUCCGCUCGUCUUGGCUUAAUUAAGUGGAGAAUACAUGAGAGAGAGAGAGAGAGAGAGAGAGAGAGAUAGGCGGAGGGAGGGAGGGAGAGGGAUAGAUAGAUGGGUAGAUAGAUAGAUAGAUAGAGAGAGAGAGAUGGUCCAAUCUCUAUGUCAGAGGUGGUCUAGUGCAUGACGCAUUCAUAGGAGAUACAAGUGGUGUCGCAGCAUUGUCCAGUCUUGGUGUGUGAUGCCUUUCGAUGAUGUGGGCGGGUAGAGUGUCAUGGCUUGAUCUCGGCUGGCCAAUGCCAUUCAACUUCACUAGUGGUGCUUUUGUUUGUGUCAUGUUGUAUCCCCCCCCUUGUUCUCCCUGUGAGUUGGGUUGUUGGUGCAUGUUGUUUUUGUUCUAUCUCUUCUCCUCUUGUGCCCCCUGUAUCUCUGGUUCACUUGGACCCAUCUUGCCACGGGCUGCAAAUCCCUAUAGGCAAAAAUGAAUACAAAUUCAGGUAGUGGAGGGCCCCCCUCCUCCCCCGAUGAAUAUUCAAACAGAAAAUUGAUGUAGCCCUACAGGGAUAGAGCAUUUCUUCUGAUGAGUGAACCCGACCCGGUGUGCGGAUUAAAGGUUUGAUGUAAUAGUGUAAUAUAUCAUGACAAGUGAGUGCUUACAGGUGGACCACAUCUGUCCUACACAUAUAUUCCAGUUUAACCAAGUGCAUAAUUAGUAUUUGUUGGAAAAAGUAGUCGCAAUACCAAUAGGUAUUAAUGAAAAGUUUUGAACUAGUGUUUUCUUAAUCCUAAAUGUAAUUAUGGUUUCUUAUUUGUAUUUACUCUAGUGAAACCAGUGGCUUGAAAGGUCAUAUAAAAAGUAAACUAGAUGGGGCGAGGAACAUGCCUGGAAUGGGAAAAGACGUGAAUGACCUGUGCGUAAGAAUCAAUGAUACGGAAGCACCCAGCUGAAGACACAUUGGUGGGGUAUUCCUCAAGAUUGCCUUGGGCAGCUUGGGGCAUGCGACCCAUGGGACACAGAUUGUACAUGAGGGACUCUAGGUGGGAGGAGAUGAUCUGACAAGCAUGAUGUCCAUAAGUAGGGAAGGGGUGCCAUGCAGGUCAGAGCACUGGGCGACCAACAAAAUGUUGGUGUUUAUCCCCGUUGAGCAGUUCUACUUGCACGCCUUCAGAAGGUAUGCUUCUUGGUGCUAAGUUUGGACCACCAUGGACAGAAGAACAUUUGCUGACUUACUCCGCACUGCCAACAUGUUGCCAUCUUGCCCCUGGUUCGUGAGACAUCACAAAGUCAGGUUCAAUGACGUCACUAAUCAUUCAUGUUUUGUAGCACGCAAAACAUGUCUAAAGCUGUUAUGUGGCAUUUUACGAUUCUGUGAUUAUUGAGUUCCCGAAAUCUCUCAAUCUUACAACUUGGUAACAUCUUAGCAUUGUCGGAAUAAUGAUUGAAACAUGGUGAUGCAUUUGGAUCUCUCUUUCUUUCAUUGAUUCAUCUCUCGUGAUCGACUCACUCUGGUCUGGGUGUUAAUGAUUAAUCCACGUGUUAUAUUGUUGGUGGGUUGGGUGUGAAUAUAUAAUAUCUUACAAAAUAAAUGCAGAUGAAUGCUAAGCUCAAAAUAUGUUGAUGUGCUUUGAAAGGACUUACAUAUGCGUACUCAAUUGGUGGGCUGGGUGUGAAUUUUAAUGUUUUGUUGUCUUUUAUGCUAUGUACCAUACCAUAGCACUAGUGGAGAAGGGGGCUUUAAUCCCGGUUGGCAACAACCUUUAGGUUCGGGUCACCAACCGUGACUAAAAGGUCUGGACUAAAGGCCCCCACCCUUUAGACCCGGUUGGCCACAACACGGGACUAAAGUCCCUCCAUGUGGCCAGAGCAUGCGUUGGGGGCUAUAGGUUUCACGUAUUCACCGUGGACAUGUAGUCCAAAACCUGUUAGUUUGAUCUAUUUGCAAAGCACAAGAAAGCUAUUAUCUGAAACAUAUCACCGAUGGAGUUUGUUGAACAUAGAAAUACUAGUUGGAUCUGUGAGCCGAGAUCAAAUUAUUUUCAUAUUCUUUCUGUAGAGCCUAACAUGUUGAAGGUGUGAAAAUCCAUGGCAAAUUGAGUUAACAAUGUCGUCAUAGAUCAAGGUUGCAAGUUUCUAAAUUACAGCCUAAUUACAUAAAUAUUUUAUUACUGUUGUCAUGACCACCAUCAACCACAUUAAACAUCAUGUGGUUUCCAGAAUUUCAUGCGCGGGGCACAGUAAGGUGAAGCUACCAAGGUGACAUGAGCAUCACCAUGGUCCCGUUGUAUAGCGCUCGCAGAGGAAGUGGGACGUUCAUACUUGGACGAUUUAACACAAAGCUUAUACAUUUAGCCUAAAAUAUAGAGGGAUGGAUAUCGGUAUUAGAGUUAGAGAGUUAUAUUUGUAUAUUUUUUUGCAAUAAUGCUCUAAUUGUAGUUUUGGCCCUGUUGAGAAGAAACUCCAUCUACAUCUCCACCUUGUUUGUUCUCAUACAGUACAAUUAAGUUGAUCUAUAAAUCUAGUUUCCUUAACUACGAAUAAUUCGUGGAGAUUAUUGAAUGCCAAGCCUAGUACCUGAAUCAUUAUAGCCUCCAGCGUAACCAAACAUCAUAGGAAUAGGUAAGGUACUUAGUAGGCGACACUAUAGAUAUUGCUUUGUGUUAGGCCCAUCUAUGUUCAUUUUUGUAGUUCAUGCAGUAAAGUGUGCAUGACCACCUAGUUUAUGUACAAAUGACGCAUUUCACUCCAUCCUAGAAGAUGAAUUUUGCCAUAUUUAAUUAUGUUUUGAGAACUUUAAAUCUAAUUUAAGAAUCCAAACAAGGUUUAAGUUUCAUGGGGGUGUCCUUCUGACCUUUUCUUUCACCAAAGGCCCAAACUACGCAUGGAAUUGAGACUACCGUUGUUCUUGAAGGGGUAUCCCUCAAGAUUGCCUUGGGCAGCUUGAGGCGUGUCUGACACAUGGGACACAGGUUGUACAUGACGAACUCUAGGUGGGAGGAGCUGAUUUGACAAGCUUGAUGACCAACAAUUUGGAAGGUGUGUCAUGCAGGUUAGAGCACUGCGCGAGCAACACAAUGUUGGUGUUUUUCGCCCUUGAGAAGUUCUACUUGAACGCCUUCAGAAAGUCUGCUUCUUGGUGCAGAGUUUGGAGCACCAUGCAUGGAUAGAAGAACAUUUGCUGACUCACGACGCACCGCCGCCAUGUUGCCAUCUUGCCCCUGGUUGGCGAGACAUCACAAAGUCAGGUUCAAUGACUUCACUGAUCAUUUAUGUUUUAUAGCAUGCAAAACAUGUCUAAAGCUGUUAUGUGUCAUUUUCCGACGGUGUGGUUAUUGAGUUCCCGAAAUCUCUCAAUCUUACAACUUGGUAACAUAUUAGCCUUUGUCGAAAUAAUGAUUGAAACAUGGCGAUACAUUUGGAGCUCUCUUUCUUUCAUUGAUUCAUCUCUCGCGAUCGACUCACUCUGGUCUAUGCUAAUCCACUUUGUUAUGUUGUUGGUGGGUUGGGUGUGAAUAUAUAAUGUCUUACAAAAUAUAUGCAGAUGAAUACUAAAGCUCAAAAUAUGUUCAUGUACUGUAAAAGGAUUUACAUAUGAUUACUCAAUUGGUGGGUUGGGUGUGAAUUUUAAUGUUUUGUUAUCAUUUACGGUAUGUACCAUACCAUAGCACUAGUGAAGAACGGACUUUAGUCCCGGUUGGCAACAACCUUUAGUGCCGGGUCGCCAACCGUGGCUAAAAGGUGGGGACUAAAGCCCCCCACCUUUUAGUCCCUGUUGUCCACAACACGGAACUAAAAUCCCUCCAUGUGGUCGGAGCGUGCGUUGGGGGCUAUAGGUUUCACAUAUUCACCAUAGACAUGUGGUCCAACACAUGUUAGUUUGAUAUAUUAUCUGAAACAUGUCAUCGACGGAGUUUAUUGAACACAGAAAUACUAUUCGUAUCUGUUAGUCAAGAUCAAAUUAUUUUCAUGUUCUUUCUAUAGAGUCUAACAUGUUCGAGGUGUAAAAAUCCAUGGCAAAUCGAGUUAACAAUGUCAUUAUAGAUCAACGUUGCAAGUUUCUAAAUUACGUCCUAAUUACAUAAAUAUGUUAUUACUGUUGUCAUGACCACCAUCAACCACAUUAAACAUCAUGUGGUUACCAGAAUUUUAUGCGCGGGGCACAGUAAGGUGAAGCUACAAGGUGACACGAGCAUCACCAUGGUCCUGUUGUAUAGCGCCCGCACAGGAAGCGGGACGCUCAUACUUGGUCGAUUUAACACAAAGCUUAUAUAUUCAGCCUAAAAUUUUGAGGGAUGGAUCACGGUAUUAGAGUUAGAGAGUUAUAAUUGUAUUUUUUUACAAUAAUGCUCUAAUUGUAGUUUUGCUCCUGUUGAGAAGGAACUCCAUCUACAUCUCCACCUUGUUUGUUCUCAUAGAGUAGAAUUAAGUUGAUCUAUAAAUCUAGUUGCCUUAAUUACGGAUAAUUUGUGGAUUGUUGAAUACCAAGCCUAGUACCUCAAUCAUUAUAGCCUCCAGCUAACCAAAAAUCAUCGGAAUAGGUAAGGUACUUAGAGCAUCUCUGGCAGACCCCGUAUAAGUGGUCAAAUCCGUAAAAAAUUGCGUUUUACAAUUUUGGUCGUAAAAAGUCUACAUAACAGAAACCGUAAAAAUGGUC